ensembl:ncRNA R07B7.20 ncRNA
GAUACCACACGCAUUAAGCGUUGUAGUAAAAGGCUAAAAAUCAGGUCGAGAGUUUGAUUUAUUCCUCUCGUGUCGCGAUAGAACCUAGACGUUCUUCGUGUUUU